UGAAUUUUCUACCUAAACACUUUAUUGUUUCUAAAUUAUUUCCUUAAUGUAUGAUGUUAUCUAUUCUAUAGUCAAAUGACACAGAGCGAUUUUUCCAGAUAUGUUCAUUUCUCGUACUAUUUUUCCAACACUGAAGGAAGUACAUCUUCUUGCCGUUCCUUAUAGUGACCCUCACAGGUUGUGAGGUUAUGUUUGCUAUCUCGACUUUUAUUUUUGUUUAAUUAGGUGAAUUUCAAUGUGGUUUGAAAUUUUUCUUGAAAAUCCAAAUUCUUUAGGUACAUUUAAUUGACUUUUUCUAUCAAAAGAAUCAUAUGGUUUUUAAAAUCAAAACAUAAUUUACAAACAUCC